UUCUCAACAUCGUUAUCCUCGCGAACUUCGGGUCCAAGUAAACUUGGCUUUCAAGUCGCAAUCGUAAGGGGACUGAACCGAGUCUACUUCCCCCACUCGAGUCAAAAUCGGUUGGUCUCCACUCCAACGGCGUCGUUCCAUCUCCUCCUGCGCCUUCGCUACGCCUUUCUUGCUGCCCGCGAAACGCCCCGGAAGACCUAGAUUCCCUUUAUCCUCAAUUUCAUCCAUGCGUUUCAUUGCCAUAUUUCCUGAUUUGAGUAGUAUGUUAGCUGCUGGGUAUAAUUAGAUUGCUUUGGUAGCUGCGCAAAAUGGGGAAAAAGAGCCUCUUGUACAGGAUGACCGCCGACUGCAGACAACGGGUUUAUGAAUUUUCUCAAUUGCAUGGUUUAUCUAACCCCUGGAUAGUGAAGAGGCGAUUUGUAAAUAUUCUAAUAGUUGACCUUUAGGAUAUAGUUUGUAGAUAAGGAUUGUUCUUGUAGAUGAAUAUGGAAACGAAGUUAACUAAGGUUCUGCAUAAUGGCCAAGAGAUUGUUGUGGGUUUGAAGAGAAAAAGGGAAAAUCAAGGCACGGCACAUGUUGGAGCUGGUUGCAAAGCAUUUUUGUCCAAGUUGACCUCAUCUAGGAAUAGACAUGCCAAGUGCAAGAGACUUGAUGACUGUGAAGUCAGUUCUGGGACAUCGAGAAGAUCUUUUCUUAGAAACUAUAAAAAUUUUAGCAAAAGUGGACUUCCCCAGAGGUUUUUAUAUUACGAAGAUGGGGAUUGGAUAGAUUACCCUCAGAUAAUUGUCCAGUUGAUUAGGGAACAAUUUCAGAUAAGAAAUGCGGCAGUUGAAGUGGAAGUUGAUGGUCGUCACUUGCUGCUGGAUGCUUUGUAUAUGAUCCAAGUGGAACUGAAAACAGGUGUUCAGCAGCACAUUGCCUGGAUUGAUGACAAUGGUCAAUGUUUCUUUCCAGAAUUUUAUUCGGGUGGCACUGUAAUGCAUCAGUUCCACGAUUAUGAGCUGGAAGAUGGUUCUGCUGUUGCAUUAUCAGACCAAACAGGAAUGAGAGAGAUCAAUUUGCAUCUUGAAAUUGGAAUAACUGAAGCAAAUAGUUCUCAAUCAGAAGAGUAUAUUGAAGAGUCAAAUAGAGAUAUUAGGAUCUCUAACAUCAAAGAAGAAUCUUGUGAUAAUGGUGGGGAUUGGGAAGGCAAUGAAAAUAAAAGUCGGAAACCAGUUGCUGAAAUGCAGGAGGCUGUUGCUGGAAUUAAAGAGAUUGAUUGUUAUAUGACACCUCCAAACGAACUUAUACAGUCAAAUGUGGAUUCUGACGAUGUUAAAAAUAUGUUCUUAAUGGGCAUGGGAUCUAUUAAGAACAUUGAGGUACUUGAGGUCAAACGCUGGUCUAGUCAUUUAAUGCAGGCUAGAUUGGAUCUGUUUAAAAAACAAAUAGAGAUAACCAAGAAGAAUCGUGGGAAUGCCAAUGUUCAGUAUGGUUGGCUUGCUGUGAAUAAGGAUGUUUUAUCUGGUAGCAUACUAUAUGGGGCAGGUCAUUGUGGACCGAAGCUUACAUCCUCAUAUGGUGUUCACCUUUCACCUACAAGCUGUGCACAUGUUAGUGCAAGUUAUUGCGAUGAUGAUGAAAAAGGCGUUAGAUACAUAGUAUUCUGUCAUGUGAUAUUGGGAAACGUGGAAGUUGUCACUCCUGGAUGUGGACUAUAUCAUCCCAGUUCUGUGAACUUUGACAAUGGAGUAGAUGACCUUCAUAAUCCAAGUCAAUAUAUAGUUUGGAAUAUGAAUAUGAACAGUCACAUUUUUCCGGAAUAUGUUGUCAGUUUCAAGGUAUCAUCAAGUCCUCAACGUGGGAUUCUGGCUGCAAAAAAUGGAGGUAUUGAUACUGAACGGCUUCACGACCAGUUGCAGUUAAAUUGCUCUUCGAUUGAAUCAGAGGAGGAUUGUGUGUCAUCGCCAGCUCCUGUAAAGAGAUGUACAGGAAAGCUCGUUGACCAUGGAUCUAGCUCCCUGAAGACUCCAAAGUCCCCCUGGAUGCCCUUUUCAAAGUUGUUUAAUGCCAUUUCAAAAGAAGUCUCUCUUAAUGACAUGAAAUUGGUGAACGGUCAUUACGGCUUAUUUAGAGAAAAGAAGAUCAGUAGGGACGAAUUUAUUAGCAGGUUGAGGUCCAUUGUUGGGGAUCCGUUACUGAGGUCCACACUAACAAGUCUCCAGUGCAAGAAGCCCCCCCGAAGGUGAGGCCAAAUAAGCCUAAAAACCCCUGGAAGUUUCCACCAAAGAGCAAUUGCAAAUUGGCAGUUUAGGAGGUGCCUCCGAAGUCUCCAUAUACUUUCAAAGUUCCAAAGGAGGAGAAAGAAUGUUGAGGCUGUUGGUAAGAGUCUGUGUUUCGGUGCUUUCCGUCUUGGAGGUUACUAUGUACAUGGUAUCUUACUGUUAUUUUGCCUUCGAAUUUGUCGACCUGAUUUGUGAACAUCUCGAUAUAAGCUAUGUGAGACAAUGGUUAUUUAUUAUGUACACUUCUCAGUUAAUUGCAAAUUUAUGUAUACUCAGUCAAUUGCUUUUAUUCUUAUA